rnacentral:rRNA from 1 species
ACAGAGGUGGCGAGCGUUGUUCGGAUUUACUGGGCGUAAAGCGUGCGUAGGCGGUCGCGUGUGUCAAAUGUGAAAGCCCGGGGCUCACCCCCGGAAGUGCAUUUGAAACUGCGUGGCUUGAGUCUGGGAGGGGAGAUCGGAACAUAUGGUGUAGCGGUGAAAUGCGUUGAUAUCAUAUGGAACACCGGAGGCGAAGGCGGAUCUCUAGAACAGAACUGACGCUGAGGCACGAAAGCGUGGGGAGCAAACAG